rnacentral:rRNA from 1 species
ACAGAGAGUAGCUUGCUACUUUGGUGACGAGCGGCGGACGGGUGAGUAAUGCUUGGGAACAUGCCUUGAGGUGGGGGACAACAGUUGGAAACGACUGCUAAUACCGCAUAAUGUCUACGGACCAAAGGGGGCUUCGGCUCUCGCCUUUAGAUUGGCCCAAGUGGGAUUAGCUAGUUGGUGAGGUAAUGGCUCACCAAGGCGACGAUCCCUAGCUGGUUUGAGAGGAUGAUCAGCCACACUGGGACUGAGACACGGCCCAGACUCCUACGGGAGGCAGCAGUGGGGAAUAUUGCACAAUGGGCGCAAGCCUGAUGCAGCCAUGCCGCGUGUGUGAAGAAGGCCUUCGGGUUGUAAAGCACUUUCAGUCAGGAGGAAAGGUUAGUAGUUAAUACCUGCUAGCUGUGACGUUACUGACAGAAGAAGCACCGGCUAACUCCGUGCCAGCAGCCGCGGUAAUACGGAGGGUGCGAGCGUUAAUCGGAAUUACUGGGCGUAAAGCGUACGCAGGCGGUUUGUUAAGCGAGAUGUGAAAGCCCCGGGCUCAACCUGGGAACUGCAUUUCGAACUGGCAAACUAGAGUGUGAUAGAGGGUGGUAGAAUUUCAGGUGUAGCGGUGAAAUGCGUAGAGAUCUGAAGGAAUACCGAUGGCGAAGGCA